rnacentral:tRNA from 1 species
GGCCCUGUGGUGUUUUACAUAUUGGAUUGCAAAUCUAGAGUCGCAGAUUAGAAGUCUGCCGGGGCUU